rnacentral:misc_RNA from 1 species
GGAUGAAGAACGUAGCGAAAUGCGAUAAGUAAUGUGAAUUGCAGAAUUCAGUGAAUCAUCGAGUUUUUGAACGCAUAUUGCGCCCUCUGGUAUUCCGGGGGGCAUGCCUGUUCGAGCGUCAUUAAAUAACCCUCAAGCAUAGCUUGGUGUUGGGCUUUUUUACGUCCUUGACUGGGAUGGGCCUAAAAAUUAGUGGCGAUGGCUUUUUUACUUUCAAGCGUAGUAAAUCUCGUCUUGCUAAAGAGGAAAAAGAUUUUUUUUCUGCCAAAAAUUUUAACAUUUAAAGUUGACCUCGGAUCAGGUAGGAUUACCCGCUGAACUUAAGCAUAUCAAUAAGCGGAGGA